rnacentral:rRNA from 1 species
GACGAACGCUGGCGGCGUGCUUAACACAUGCAAGUCGAACGGAAAGGCCUUGCUUUUGUGGGGUGCUCGAGUGGCGAACGGGUGAGUAACACGUGAGUAACCUGCCCUUGACUUUGGGAGAACUUCAGGAAACUGGGGCUAAUACCGGAUAGGAGCUCCUGCUGCAUGGUGGGGGUUGGAAAGUUUCGGCGGUUGGGGAUGGACUCGGGGCUUAUCAGCUUGUUGGUGGGGUAGUGGCUUACCAAGGCUUGGACGGGUAGCCGGCCUGAGAGGGUGACCGGCCACAUUGGGACUGAGAUACGGCCCAGACUCCUACGGGAGGCAGCGGUGGGGAAUAUUGCACAAUGGGCGGAAGCCUGAUGCAGCAACGCCGCGUGCGGGAUGACGGCCUUCGGGUUGUAAACCGCUUUCGCCUGUGACGAAGCGUGAGUGACGGUAAUGGGUAAAGAAGCACCGGCUAACUACGUG